rnacentral:rRNA from 1 species
CUACGGGGCGCUCCAGUGGGGAAUAUUGCACAAUGGGCGCAAGCCUGAUGCAGCCAUGCCGCGUGUAUGAAGAAGGCCUUCGGGUUGUAAAGUACUUUCAGCGGGGAGGAAGGGAGUAAAGUUAAUACCUUUGCUCAUUGACGUUACCCGCAGAAGAAGCACCGGCUAACUCCGUGCCAGCAGCCGCGGUAAUACGGAGGGUGCAAACGUUAAUCGGAAUUACUGGGCGUAAAGCGCACGCAGGCGGUUUGUUAAGUCAGAGGUGAAAUCCCCGGGCUCAACCUGGGAACUGCAUCUGAUACUGGCAAGCUUGAGUCUCGUAGAGGGGGGUAGAAUUCCAGGUGUAGCGGUGAAAUGCGUAGAGAUCUGGAGGAAUACCGGUGGCGAAGGCGGCCCCCUGGACGAAGACUGACGCUCAGGUGCGAAAGCGUGGGGAGCAAACAGGAUUAGAUACCCUGGUAGUC